AAGGGUUGAUGGGCAGCAGGUGCUGGUUCUGUCUGCUGCACUGCAGCUGGGCGCUGUGGGGAUUUGCAGUGUUUAGCCCCCUGCUCUUCCAGCUAUGGUGCAAUCGUGCUGUUUUAUUUGCUUUCUUUUUUUCCAUCGUUGUGAAUUCUGUGCAUUUCUCCUUAGUAAAUGUGGUGGCUUACACCUUUGGGAAACCGGUGCUGUGAGGAGAUGGCUGCUGCGAAGUUUGCCUGAGGAAAAGGCUGCAUUCGUUCUCCUGGGAAGAUUGUUUGCUGAAGGCUCCCUGAGCAUACAUUCUGAAAGCAAGGAACCUUGGUGAGAAGUGUGCCACUGGAACCUACCUAUGCAGGUAGGGGGAGCCAGCCAGACAAGUGACAGUGCAAGAGGGGCUUCCCAUGCGCCGUUUUAGUGGGCAAUGCUUGCUGCAGAUGAGGAAGUCAUGGAGUCGACAUCAUGAACCCAGGAAGUGGAGAACUGAUGGAGGAAUACAGCAGGUCAUGCCUGAACUUCUAUGUCUCUCCAGUGCUCCAGAGAGUUUUACCGCUAUUUGUAAAGCCUGAAGAAAGUAAAAUUCACAAACAUUAGAUGAGAAGAAUGCAUACGAUCUUCAAAUCUGAAUUCGUCUGUAUGUGGACCAUGGACAGCAUGAAACCCGCCUGCUCUGAAGGGACAUUUGAAGUGAAGAAAUAGAGGACAAAAAUAAAUAUGGAUGGAGGUUAAAACUCCCAGUAUAGGUGUGAAGUCAUAAACCAUUUGACCGAAAAUAAUUCAUUAUGUUGUUUCUGUUGCCAGCUUGCUGAACUCCUGCAACAAAAAUUCCUGAGAGAUUUACGGAUUUCCAAACAAAGGAAAAUUCAGUGAGAGUGCACACUGUACUUCUGAUUCCAGCAGAUGCACACAGCCUGCAAUAAAGGAGAUGCUGCCAUUUUCCAUGAUGAAGUAUCUUCCACUUCUGAACUGCAAUCAGGAAGCCCACCUCUGGUAUCACAAUAGCACUCCAUGCUGAUCAUCACCAGAGCCCAGUGUUCAAUUCAGAGGCAAUGUCAAAAAGAGCAACAGAAGAGAAAGAGAAGAGAGAAGAAACUAGCCUGGAUUGAUUUAAAGAGCAGGCCUGAAGGAACCUCUUAGAGUAUGUUUGUGUCUUUGUAUAACUGGAGCUGGCUUGCUGUAAAUGAGAUGCAAAAUGGAGGAAUUCAGGAAAUUCAUACGGCAGUUUCAGUGCUGCACAGGACUGCAAGUUUGAUCCCAGAGGCACCUUGAAGAAGCUUUUCUGUUGUGAAACCCAUCUUUCAGAAGCGCAUUAUGAAGUUAAGUCACUCACCAAGAGCUGAAACCUAGGAGCUGUCAAGGGCUUUCUAUUUUAAAUGACAUUUAUCUUCAUCUUGGAAAGGUAUCACCACGUUCCUUUUAUUUAUCUAUGUGAAGAGAGGCAAUAAUUUUUUUCUUGUCCAACCUGUGGAUUUAGUAAGUUCAUUACCUAUUUUUUUCUUUGUUUUUUAUGCUGCUUCUUUGAAACUGCUGUUUCAUACAUUGCAGAAGGUGGGGGGAGGUUGUAGAAGUACAGAGGGUGGUUGAACAAAUGACUUUUUCAUUUAUUCCUUAGUGAGAUAUCAUUUGAAUGCUUUGGAAUUGCGUAAGUUUUCUUGAAUUCUGAAGUCUUCCUGGAUGGCUUGUUGCAGUUUGCCCACAGUGGCCAAGGAGGACAAUAUAAAUAGAGAGCUUCCUUCUAGUAGGACCUGAUGAUCUCACCACUGUUUUCUAUUUUACAUGUUAAAUUCAAGAUACAGCAAAAUAGUUCAGUGUACCAGAUAACAGAUUUUAGCCCAAAUGUGUGAUAUUUUCAUCUUUAGUAGCAAUCAGUCCUUUCUCAAGUCAUUCAUUUGAUAUUCAAAUUAAAAGGGGGAUUUAUUCUUCAAUUCCUACCUGCACUCCUGAAUGAAAUAUAUCAGAAUCCACAAUCCAUGGGAUUUAACUGGACUGCCAUGCUGUAGUGGAAAUGCUAAGUCAUGGCCUGAACCAGUAAUUGAGCACCUGGUGGGAAGGCAGGACCAACUCAGGGGAGCUCAGGUGCGUGCGAUGCAUCUGAGUGACUGGAAGGGGUGGAGCCAGGAUCCAGACCUCAUUUAAGGGUUGGCAGUGGAGGUGAGAGUAUCUCACUGGAGUUCCAUACCUGCCUGAGGCCUUUCAAAGGUAAGCAGAUUUGUUCUUCUGUUUCGGUAUCCAUAGCUGCUGUGUUUGGGCUUGUUGUUGUUUGCUGUAGCUGAAGACUUUGGCACUCUGCUAUUAUUGCUAUACUUUCUGUCAUAUUAUUGCAUUGCACAUACUGUGCUUAAUCUAAGUUUUUUUACUUCGGUCUUUUCUUCUACAAUAGCUAAAUAUCAGUUUAGCAGGAGAUGAACGUUCCCCUUCUGAUAAGUCUUCCUGGGUAGGCAGCAGUACAGUGGGCUGACAGGCAGAACUUGUACCAGUGCUAAGUUUGGGAACUGCUGCAGGUCCUUUAUCUCAUGCUAGGGAGUGGAAAUGGGAAUGCAGGAAGCUCUGGCCAGCUUGAAUGGAAGCUCUAGGAAUAAUAAGAAGUAGAAGAUGAGACUCUUGACGUAGAUGCAUCAUAAAGUUUGUAUAUGGAUGCAAACAGGUAUAUAUGGAUGCAAACUCUGAAACAUAGGGUUCUGCCUCUUAGCGUGAGCUGAUUUUUAGUUUCCUUACAUAGGAAAGAGAGAGUAACACUGAACACCUUCAGCUGAGUCUCGCAGCUACCCUAAAUAGAAGAAAACACCAAUAUCCAGGGAUCUUAGACUUUUUAAAAAGCCAUAGCUCAUCGUGGCAAGUUUAUCAACUAUCACAGGCAUGUAAAACACUGAAACAAUCUCUGUGCUUCUGUAGGAGAGAGAGCAGUUCAAUUCCUGAAGCCUCUAAUCAGGUAGAAUGUUGGAGCUUUUAAUUUUCCCUUUACCUUUCAAAACAGCAAUAGCACAUCUCUUUAUUUCUCUGUUGUGUCCAGCAUGUUUUUCACAGUGCUGGGUUGUGAAACCAGAACUCCCAUGGACGCAGAGUCAGAAGCAUACUUAAGAUUUUGUUUGUGGUUCUGAAGUCUUGGGAAAUCUCACAAAAGCUAUAUGCCUUUAGCCCUGCUGAAUUGCUGCUGUCUUCAGAUCUAAUCUUUCCAGCAGCUGUUUCUCACUUUAUCCAGUGUGACCAGACUUCUCCCAUAGGAAAAAUUAUGUUUUCAGACUUCCUAAAAUUCUGUAAUUUUUAUUCUCACAGUGACAUAAAAAUAGGUCUUACUUUAAAUCCUAUUUACACUAGCUUCACAAACUUAUUCAUUGGUUUUAUCAUGCAGAUGGCUGCGUGUAAGAAAACAUAUUUGUUAAAUGUAAAUCUUAACUGCUUGGAGUCUCUGUCUCCACAUAAUAUCUAGCCUAAUGUCACCACAGGACAACAUUUAUGUUUUCAUUUAAAAAUAAAGUAAGCAGAUGGGACUUCUCUCAUCCAUAGAGUAGUAAAUUAAAAGCAAAAGUAACCAUUUUUUUAAUAUUGUACUCUGCUGGGAUGAGAGUUUGGCAUUAUGACAUCUGGUCUAAUUUGAGUAUUCCAGUAGCUGCUGUGUAGCAUCUACUAAAACUCUGAAAUGAAUCCUGCUGAUACUAUUUCUGCAUAUUCUGUGUGAACACCCUAACCCACACAGCAAACCUGUGCAUCUCUGCCUUUCAAUAAAAAAACCCAAAACAACAACAACAAAAAAAAAAAAACAACAGAAAAGCUUGGUACAGAUGUUAUUACUUUACAUAUGCCAUGAAAGCAAUGAUCAGUGUAACUGAGACACUAUCGUAGGAAGUGUAAACCUACAUUUGUCCACUACUUGCUUCAUAAAACUUCCAUUUGAGAUUAUUUGUUUAUGAAGACCAGAAAAAAAAAAAGAGGUAACAGUCUCUCUAUUUGUAUCUUUGAAUACUUCCUCCCAAGUAGAUAGCUUUUUCUUGUACUAUUUAACAUUCUGAUUUUUCUGUGAAUCUUCUAACCAUUAGGACAAGUUAUUGAGAUUCCACUGAGUAUAAGAAGUGUUUCUUCAAUAGGUUGAAUGUUAUGGUGCCAAGAAACCAUCAAUAUUAACCUAAUCUUUGUCCCUUAAUUCUUAACUAUUAAAACCUGUCAUCUUUUACCAGGCACAAAGCAUGCCUAGUAUAUGAUUAAUUUUUUGAGAGUUCAACAUACUAUGCUGCAGGUAUGCCAUAAAAUUGAAAUAUCUCUUUUAUCUAAAUACAUAAUUCAAGUAAACACACUCUAAAGAUAAAUGCACAGAUAGUGUUUCCCAGGGAAUAAUGUCUUUUGUUCUAUUACAAAACAUAGAAUUCUCAUUUGUAAAUCAUUGAUUUUAAUUUGGUGAAAAAUUUAACUUUCCAGAAACUACUACAGUUGCUAGCUGGUCCCAGUCUAAAUCUUAAUAAGAAAAUCAACACAAGGCUCUCACUCAGAUAUAAUGCUAUCUAGUAGAUAUGUUUGUCUUUCAUCCCCUUGGAUUUAGCUUGGCACUGCAAGUCAUAGGGGCUAAAGCAAGAAGGAACAUGCUGACCUUCCAGGCGUGGCAGCCUAGCUUUUACAGAGAGCAUAAAGAACUAGAGUCCAAAAGCAGGCAUAUGCAGAGGGCCAUUUAAGAUACCCAUUUGGAAACCUGAUGAUCAAUUACGUCUUAAAUACCACCUCUUUCUGUGGACUUAAGGUUGCCUGGCUGAUCCGAAAGCUAUGGAAAAGCUGAGAGCAGCAAACACCACGACAAGAGGAGGGCAAUGCCGAAGAGACACUAUGAAGGGAGGUAGCACAGCCACUCUAUGGCAGUCUUCUACCAUUUGCAGUUCCUAAUUGUUGUCCAAUGAUGACCAUACAACUAUCUUCAGCUCAGACAUCAAUGUCUGUCCCAAUAAUAGCUACUGGACAGUUCAGAGAUAUAUGCCAAAGGAAACUGAAAUGAUCACAGCUACAAGGUCAGGUGUCCCUGCAUCAUAAUAUAAUGGUGGCAAUGUGGAACACCCCUGGAUUAACUUGUGCUAGCAUAAGGACUAAAAAGAAAGAUCUCAGCAUGUUUCAAAAUCCUACUUUAAGAUAUAAAAGGUUUUCCUCCAGAGAAAACAAACACUUGAUCCCCACACGUUGAGGUCUGUAAAGGCUGCUGUUUCCAUUUUAAGAUAUGAAACCCUAUAACAUGGAACAAUCGCCCCCAAAUUAUAUACAUUGCAGAUUAAUUUUUGCUGAUUAUUAUCCACUGAAUUCAUUUUAGAGAACAACUCACUAGAGGAUAAACGUCAAUUUCAUUAUUAUUUUUCAAAACUAAGAUUCAAUUUUGCAUUUCUAUCAGAUUCAAAAUAAUUUUCUAUGUAACUCAGUGGGAUAUUCAUAUGUGCUCAGAAACUAACGAGGUAUGGGAAAUAGAUAUACUAUCAUAAAAGGAAAAUCACUAAAUGAGGGAAAAAAAAAAAGAUUGUAAAAGGGCCUUUUCAGUAAAAAGAACAAUUUCAUCACUGAGUAGAACUACUUGUUCACUGUAUCUCUGUUUUUUGCCAUCUCAAGUGGCCUGUUCAAUUCUGUUACUAUUUCAGAACAUUCUGCUUCUACUGACUGAAGGAAUACUGUUCAUUAAAAAUCUUUGUAAAGCAAUGUUAAAAAGAAAA